CAUUUUUUGUUUUAUUUGAAAUGUGCUUGACUCACUCACCCAGUGUCAUUCCCAGCUGGGCUGGGAGCUCUGUCAGUUGGUUAUGUGGGUCACUGCAGCCUCUCAGGGUGUUAGCUUGAAGCUGGAGAGGAGGCAGGGCUGAGCCUUGAUGGAUGAAUGGAUGGAUGGAUGGAUGGAUGGAUGGAUGGAUGGAUGGAUUUUGAAUGAUUGGUUUAUUCUGAAUGGAAAGGCAGAUUUGCAGAGAGAAGGAAAGAUCAUCUAUCCACUGGCUCACUCCCCAAGUGGCCACAACAGCUGGAGCUGAGCUGAUCCAAAGCCAGGAGCUUCUUCUGGGUGUCCCACGCAGGUGCAGGGUCCCAAGGCUUUGGGCCGUCCUCUACUGCUUUUCCGGGCCACAAGCAGGGAGCUGGAUGGGAAGUGGAGCAGCUGGGACAUGGACCGGUGCCCAUACGGGACUCCAGCACUUGCAAGGUGCGACCUCAAUGUGCAAGGCCCUGAUACCCGGCAUGGGUACUUGGCUUCUGACCUGUGCCUGUGUCUUCAUCUGCUUGGAAAUCUCUGUAUGCAAAGCUGGAGGAGGGGGUCCGCUGUCAGGUCCUCCCCACCAUGACCCUUGGCUCUGCCCUGUUACUCCCACUGUGGGCUCCCAGCGGUCACUGUCCCUGGGACCAAGGGUCGGGACUUUGACCUGCCUCAACAACAACAUUCUGAGGAUUGACUGCAACUGGGCUGCCCCGGAAUUGGACCAGGGCUCCAGUCCCUGGCUGCUCUUCAGCAGCAACCAGGAGCCUGGCAGCCAGCAUAGGUGUGUGUUUCGGGGCAGUGUAUGCACCGUGCUGCUGCCGUCCUACGAGGUGCUAGUGCCCUCCGACAACUUCACCAUCACUUUGCACCAGUGUGUGGCUGGGAAGGAGCAGGUCCGCCUGGUGGACCAGCAGUACCUGCCCCGGAAAAAUGUGAAGCUGGACCCGCCCUCCAACCUGCAGAGCAACAUCAGUGCGGACUCCUGGGUCCUGACCUGGAGUCUGAAUCUCGCUCUGGAGCCCAUGGCGUCGCUUCUCAGCUAUGAGCUGGCGUUCAAGAGGCGGGAGCAGGCCUGGCAGUUUGCCCAGCACAAGGACCACAUUGUUGGGGUGACCAGAGUCACCAUCGAAGCCACCGAGCUGGACCCUGGCUCUGCCUAUGAGGCCAGGCUGCGUGUGCAGAUGGCCACACUGGAGGGUGAUGAUGAGGAGGAACGCUACGAAGGCCAGUGGAGCGAGUGGAGCCUGCCUGUGUGUUUCCGCUCUCCCCAGAGACAAGGUCUGCCGAUCCCACCAUGGGGGCAGCCGGACAGCGCCCUUGUUGCUGUAUCCAUCUUUGUCCUCCUGAGUGGCCUCAUCUAUCUUCUGUUCAAGCUGUCACCUAGGGUAAAGCGAAGCUUUGCUCAGGAUGUGCCCAGUCCAGCUGUGUUCUUCCGGCCUCUCUACAGUGUGCACAAUGGGAACUUCCAGACCUGGACAGGGGCCCCCAGAACAAGCUGGCAGCUGAGCCAGGACUGUGUCAACACGUUGCAAGGAACCUCGGGCUCCAGUGUCUGGGAGGUCACCACUCUGCUCAUGGACAGCCAGAAACAGCCCUGGCAGUCGGUGGGCCUGCAGAGGGAGGAAGGCUCUGGCAUUGGCCUUCUGGGGACCCCAAGCUCAGAGGAGGCGCUACCAGCACAGUGUGUGGGGUGGAGGGCAUGGCCACCUGUAUACCUGCCACAGGAGGACUGGACCCCUGGACCCCCCACUGGGCUGGUGGCCCCAGAGUCAGGGGGAGGAAGUGAGUACUGUGCUGUGGGCUGCUCUGGCAACUGCUGUCCCACAGUCCUUGUGGGGGACACUCAGAGCUCUGAGCCUGUGGCAGCUGAGGCCUGCAACCUUUCCUGGGACCCGCAGGGCUCGGAUCCGGAUCCGCAGCCAGGGUUCCUGUGUGGGAGCCGGUUGGAGUGAGGGUAAGACCCUGGCACAGGGCGGCACCUCAGUACCUGAGGCUGCUCUGCGACCUGCCUGGUUCCAGGAAAUGGGGUUCAGUCCUGGAGUCCCGGCUCUGCCUACUGCAUUGUGGUGACAGACUCUGCCUUUCGUGACAGAAGUGGGCUCGAGUCUCUAGAGCUAAUUCCUGCUGAGGCCUGGAUCUUCGAGCACAGGCACCUGUGCAGGGAUCAGAAGGCUUGUCUGGACCCAGGCAGGAGGUGCUUCCCCAUCCCCUCUGCCCAGGUCUUGUGGGGAGGGCCUCCACCCUCAGACACUCCCUCAGGUCCUAUGGGAGGGGGUUUCCACCCUCAGACACUCCUCCUCACCCCUCUACUCCAGUCUUGUGCGGGUCUCCCCACUCAGCAUGGACAACCAGCCUCCCUGUACCCUCCCCUCUCUAAGGAGGCAGUGUGGCCUCCUGAGGUGUUGUGCCCCAACCUCUCACUGGACCGGCCUCGGCUCCAUGAACACAGGGAGAUUCCCUGAGCAGGUGGAGACCUCUCUGCCUUUCCUGCCUAGACCACAGUGACACUGAAGCUGUUCCAAACUGCAGCUGGUUGGGAGGGCCCAGCCUGGCUUUCCUGGGUGUCUCUGGGCACAGCAGGACAAAGGCCAGUGAGCAGCUGGCCUUCACAGCAGUCGACACAGUUGGCUCCUGGAAGCUGAGCGCUGAGGUCACACCUCCCAGUUGGUCAGAACAAUAGGGGCAGCCUCUGAGGGCCCGGCUUCUGCGCCUCACCCUCUCCAGGGAUGGUCUGGGCCAAGAGAAGCUGAGGGAGAAGAAUGCACCCAUGGCUGCUGGCGCCAAGUAACAUAAGCUGACCCACUUGGAGCCUGCCAAGGACUGCCAGCACUGGGCGCCACAGCUGGCCAGCUUGGAACGUGCCAAGGGUUGCUGGCACCAGGUGCCACAGCUGGCUGGCUCAAAACGCACCAAGGGUUGCCAUCAUCAGAGGAUACAGCUGUCCAGCUCAGAGCCAGAGAUUGUUGUCUUCCAGCUCUGCAGCGGUCAAGUCUGGAAGAGAGGUGUCAGCAGCGCCGGGCUGUUUCUGAUGGCGCUGGGCAAGGCUUGGUCCUGGGGUCAGCAGCCUCUGUGGUUUCUGGGCUGUGACAGCAGACACAAGCUUCCCAAUGUCUUCCUCGUUCCUUCCUUCCCCAGGGACACAGUAACAGCAGGCUGAGCCUGGGCCUCAUGAGUUCGUCUUAAGCUGAUGGAUCUCUGCAUCUGAGGGGGAGGUCACACUCACAGGUACAGGCGUGAGGACUUCUGCAUAGAAAUUCAGGGCUUGGGCCUGACACAGUAGCCUAGUGGCUUAAGUCCUCACCUUGCAUGCGCUGGGAUCCCAUAUGGGCGCCAGUUCGUAUCCCAGCUGCUCAUCCAGCUCCCUGCUUGUGGCCUGGGAAAGCAAU